AAUGAACGCUGGCGGCGUGCCUAACACAUGCAAGUCGGAUGUGCCCGCAAGGGUGCAUGGCAGACGGGUGAGUAACGCGUGGGGAAUCUACCUUUUAGUGGGGAAUAACGCUCCGAAAGGAGUGGUAAUACCGCAUGUGACCAUCGGCUGGGAUGCUGAUGGUGAAACCCUGGGACCUUCGGGCCAGGGGCUAGAAGAGGAUCCUGCGUCUGAUUAGCUAGUUGGCGGGGUAACGGCCCACCAAGGCGACGAUCAGUAGCCGGCCUGAGAGGGUGAUCGGCCACACUGGAACUGAGACACGGUCCAGACUCCUACGGGAGGCAGCAGUGGGGAAUUUUGCGCAAUGGACGAAAGUCUGACGCAGCAACGCCGCGUGGGUGAUGAAGGUCUUCGGAUUGUAAAACCCUGUCGCCAGGGACGAAGGGUGGGGCGUGAAUAGCGUCCUACUUUGACGGUACCUGGAAAGGAAGCCCCGGCUAACUCUGUGCCAGCAGCCGC
rnacentral:rRNA from 1 species